rnacentral:rRNA from 1 species
GACGGAGGGUGCUAGCGUUGUUCGGAAUUACUGGGCGUAAAGGGCGCGUAGGCGGCUGCUCAAGUCGGGUGUGAAAGCCCGGGGCUCAACCCCGGAACGGCACCCGAGACUGGGCGGCUCGAGACCGGGAGAGGUGGGUGGAAUACCCAGUGUAGAGGUGAAAUGCGCAGAUAUCAGGAAGAACACCAAUGGCGAAAGCAGCUCUCUGGGACGGUACUGACGCUGAGACGCGAAAGCGUGGGGAGCGAACAGG